GCCUUGCUAGCUCCGUUAGAGCAUGAGACUCUUAAUCUCAGGGUCAUGGGUUCAAGCCCCAUGGUGGGUG
rnacentral:tRNA from 1 species